GGCGAACGGGUGAGUAACACGUGGGUGAUCUGCCUUGCACUCUGGGAUAAGCUUGGGAAACUGGGUCUAAUACCGGAUAGGAACCGUCUUUAGUGUGGUGGUUGGAAAGUUUUUCGGUGCAAGAUGAGCUCGCGGCCUAUCAGCUUGUUGGUGGGGUAAUGGCCUACCAAGGCGUCGACGGGUAGCCGGCCUGAGAGGGUGUACGGCCACAUUGGGACUGAGAUACGGCCCAG
rnacentral:rRNA from 1 species